GAUGAACGCUGGCGGCGUGGAUAAGGCAUGCAAGUCGAACGGUCCUUCGCUGAUGAUUCAAUGAGAGAGUAGCAAUACGAUCAAUUUGUUGAUUCGGCAUGGGAUAGUGGCGAACGAGGUAGUAACACGUAGGAACUUCCCCCUAAGUCGCGAAUAAUCCAUCGAAAGGUGGACUAAUACGCGAUAUGUCUCUGGAUGAAAGAUUUAUCGCUUAGGGAAAGGCCUGCGGAGUAUCAGCUAGUUGGUAGGGUAAUGGCCUACCAAGGCUAUGACGCUUAGGGGAGCUGAGAGGCUGACCCCCACCGAUGGGACUGAGACACGGCCCAUACACCUACGGGUGGCUGCAGUCGAGAAUCUUCCACAAUGGACGAAAGUCUGAUGGAGCGACGCCGCGUGAUUGAUGAAGACCCUCUGGGUCGUAAAAAUCUUUUAUGAGGGAAGAAGUUUAUUGACGGUACCUCAUGAAUAAGGGGUUGCUAAACUCGUGC
rnacentral:rRNA from 1 species